AAGACGUUCAGAAUAGUGGCGAAAGGGUGAGUAAUGCGAGGGUAACAGGCCGCGGGAGCUGGGGAUAACUCCGAGAAAUCGGAGCUAAUACCGAAUGUGGUCCUUUGAUGGAAUCAUUAGAGGACUAAAGAUGGGGACCCUUCGGGGCCUUUCGCUUAAGGAGUGGCUCUUGUCCUAUUAGCCUGUUGGUGGGGUAACGGCUCACCAAAGCAAUAAUGGGUAGCUGGUCUGAGACGAUGGGGGCCACACUGGGACUGAGACACUGCCCAGACUCCUACGGGAGGCUGCAGUCGAGAAUCUUUCGCAAUGGGGGAAACCCUGACGAAGCGACGCCGCGUGGAGGAUGAAGGCCCUCGGGUUGUAAACUCCUGUCACUUGGGAUGAAAAGUGGGGCCAUUAAUACCGGUUCUGGCUGACAGUAGCUUGAAAGGAAGCUCCGGCUAACUACGUGCCAGCAGGCGCGGUAAUACGUAGGGAGCAAGCGUUGUACGGAUUUACUGGGCGUAGAGGGUGUGUAGG
rnacentral:rRNA from 1 species